UUACUGUUGCCUGGCAACCAAAAGCACUCAAGUCUAUGUUGAGCGUCACAUUUUCUUUGUAUCUCAAGAGCUUCCCAGUGACACUUGAACCCGCGACCUUGUGUUUCAGCAGACCGAGAUCAAGUGUGGGAUUUCUUUGGGAUUUUGGGGAGUGUGACAUAUUUGAACAACACUUACCAUGCGCCCACAAGCUGGCUUUGGAUAGCUCUAAAUAAUGUGAAGUGACUUAACCUAUAGUAGUGUUUAAAUGAUACGUGUUAUUAUAUCAACUUGUGCUUUUCUGACAUUCAAACUAAUGUUGGGGUGAAGAGGUCAGGUGGAUAAGGGCACUGUAAUGCAUAAACCUCUCAUACGGGAGACUAAGCUUGUGUCCAGCACUCGUUAAAUCGCUAAAUCUAAACAGAAUGUCAUUGAGUCGGUCCUUCAGGCCUCCCUCCAAAGCCCCCCCCCCCCCCCCCCCCCCCCAACAAUGAAUACUGCUUGUUGUUAGUACGAGCAGCUGUCAAGGUAGCAGCUUGUGGAAGACUUCAGUGAUGCGGAACGAAUGGGUAGAGUGCCCACAGGCAGGUAGACGGGCAGGUAGACGGGCAGGUAGACGGGCAGGUAGAAGGGCAGGUAGACAGGCAGGUAGACAGGCAGGUAGAAGGGGAGCUGAACCGACAGAUAGGCUGCCCAAUCGGGUCUUUUGGACCAAACCAAAUGAUUGGACGAGUUGAUGAGCAGUCAUGUGACAACCAGUGUUAGGGAUUUAAGCGAGAAGUGCACCCCUAUUGGUGGAAAUUAUACGUGUAAUAAUGUUUAGUGUUUGUGUGUUAUUAGAUAUUAGUUAUUAUAUUAACAUAUUAGAUAAAGUGAAUGUAAUAUGAAUUAAACACAAUGUAUAGUCAUGUAAAGCAUAUAAACACUGUACACAUUAACAUUCUGUCACAAUGUGAUGUUAAAACCUGGGGACUGAUGCUAAUUGCCGUCCUCUAUGGAUUUCUCCCAAUUUUC
ensembl:lncRNA